rnacentral:rRNA from 1 species
GUUCCUUGAACCGCGGGGAUCACGGGUGACCUACGGGCCCUGCUGUAUCGUACAUAUCGACGCGCGACUCACUAGCUAGUUAGGGGGGGGAUGGCUCACGCAAGCAACCAUACCUAGUCUAACUGGAAGGGUGAUCGGCCACACUGGGACAGAGACACCGCACACACACCUACGGGAGGCAUGGGUAAGGAAUCUUCCUGGGUGAACCAAUGUCUCACCGAUCCCCCCCGCGUGAAUAAUGACUGUUUUUUGAUCAUCAAUUUCUGUUGUUAGGAAAGAUCAAUUGCUAAAGUCUCUGCUCUCUGCUUGUCCUUACCUAACAAGAACCCCCCGGCUCACUGCCUGCCACCACCCGCGUACAUACGUAGCUGGCGUUCGUUGUCCUUACUGAUCGUGCGUCACAGGCUCGCAGUCGGAUUCUUAAGUCUGAUGUGCACCGCCCCCGCUCAGCCAGGUAGGGUCAAUGGAAACUGGGAAACUUGAGUGCAAAAGAGGAAAAUGUAAUUCCACGUGUAGCAGUGAAAUGCAUAUAGAUAUGGAGGACAUCACUGACGAAGGCCACUCUAUGGUCAGUAACUGACACUUAGGAGCGCAUGCGUGGGGAGCGGAACUGGAUAACAUACCCUGGUCAUCCACGACAUAAACUAUGAGUGCUAGUGUUACGUGGUUUCCUGCCUUUCGGGCUGCACCUGAUGCAUUACCACCUCCGCCAGGGGAGUACCGUCGCUAGACUGAACUCAAAUGACUGGACGCGGGGCCCGCCCAUGCAGUAGAUCAUGUAGUUCAAUGCAAGCAACGCGCAUACCUGACCAUGUCUGACAUCAUCCGACUACCUA